UGGGGUCACCGUUCAUUUACGCUCACAAUCUGCCUUCGAAAGAAGCAUACAUUUUUGUUAAUGUCCAUUUUUCCUGUUGAACUAAUAGGAGAAAUAGCAGUAAUAUAGAAAUAAAAAAAUAACUAAAUUACAGAAAUCGCUUAAAUUUUACAAUUAUUUAGUUUAUGUACAGCUUAUUCGAAAACAACAAUAAGAAAUAUAGGUCACCGAUGAGUUAAAAAAAAUAUUUCAAUUGUAAUGCCAAAAAAUGGCAUUUUUGCACCAAAGGGAGAUAAUCUGGAACUUUUUCAAUGAUAUCUACAUUUAAAA
rnacentral:lncRNA from 1 species